rnacentral:rRNA from 1 species
UACGGAGGGUGCGAGCGUUGUCCGGAAUCAUUGGGCGUAAAGGGCGCGUAGGUGGCGCGGUCAGUUCGUGGUGAAAGCGCGGGGCUCAACCCUGCGUCGGCCAUGAAUACUGCCGCGGCUGGAGCACUGUAGAGGCAGGCGGAAUUCCGGGUGUAGCGGUGGAAUGCGUAGAGAUCCGGAAGAACACCGGUGGCGAAGGCGGCCUGCUGGGCAGUUGCUGACACUGAGGCGCGACAGCGUGGGGAGCAAACGGG